UACGAAGGGGGCUAGCGUUGCUCGGAAUCACUGGGCGUAAAGCGCACGUAGGCGGACUCUUAAGUCGGUGGUGAAAUCCUGGAGCUCAACUCCAGAACUGCCUUCGAUACUGAGAGUCUCGAGUCCGAGAGAGGUGAGUGGAACUGCGAGUGUAGAGGUGAAAUUCGUAGAUAUUCGCAAGAACACCAGUGGCGAAGGCGGCUCACUGGCUCGGUACUGACGCUGAGGUGCGAAAGCGUGGGGAGCAAACAG
rnacentral:rRNA from 1 species